AGCUUUAUAGUUUAAAAAAUAUAAAAUUGCAAAUUUUAAGAUAAGAAAUUAUUUCUUUAAGGCUU
rnacentral:tRNA from 1 species